rnacentral:rRNA from 1 species
CAAAGGAAUUGAGGGGCCCGCACAAGCAGCGGAGCGUGUGGUUUAAUUCGAUGAUACACGAAGAACCUUACCCAGGCUUGACAUGUUGGUGGUAGGGAUCCGAAAGGUGACCGACCCUUCGGGGGGCCUUCACAGGUGCUGCAUGGCUGUCGUCAGCUCGUGUCGUGAGAUGUCCGGUUAAGUCCGGUAACGAGCGCAACCCUCGCUGUGUGUUAUAUGUGUCACACGGGACUGCCGGUAUCAAGCCGGAGGAAGGUGGGGAUGACGUCAAGUCAGCAUGGCCUUUAUGUCUGGGGCUACACACACGCUACAAUGGCCAGUACAAUAGGUUGCAGGACCGCGAGGUGGAGCCAAUCCUUAAAGCUGGUCUCAGUUCGGAUUGCAGGCUGCAACUCGCCUUCAUGAAGUUGGAAUCGCUAGUAAUCGCGGAUCAGCAUGCCCGCGGUCCGAAUACGUUCCGGCCUU